UAGACCUGGAAGAGUACUCAAAGCUUCAGAGAACACAGAAGUGUGACCAACAUCUUGACACAGUUGGUGAGAUUCUGAGCAGAGGACCCUGAGAAAAGGAAGCCUGACUCCAGAUCCAUGGGAACUCGGAAAUAUCUUGGGAAUGGAUUUAUAUUUGCUGGUGAGAUCCUCUGACACUCAAGCGAGGUGUUACAAAGGCAGCUUGCACCCUGAGCAGCAAGAAUGGCACUUCCAAGCUCCUUCCCUGGGAACUACUCAGCAUCUCAACACCAAGCCAUCAUAGCUUUGAAUUUUACCUGUCAAUCAGCCAUCAAACUCCAGCUAUAUUACUCAGAAAUCCAUUCUCGCCAUGAUGUUCCCAAUGCAGUUCGUUGUCUCUCAACCAUCAAUAGCCUGGCAAGAAAUAUCUCUAUGAGCUUGGCCCCUUCUUCCCUGUCUGUCACCUUUAUCCUUCUACUGUCAUCAGCCACUGUCCUUAAAGAUUAUUCCUCUCCUCAAAAGCCUUCAGAGAAUCCCCAUAAUUAACAGAACGAAGUCCAGAUUCCUCAGCACAGCCUUCAACCACUUCCAUGGUUGGGUCUCAAUGUACCCUUUGAGGUUCCCCCUAAGAAUGGAUUAUUUGACAUUUCCAAACAUAUGUAAGACUUACCAAUGGCUACACCUUAACUCAUGUUAGGCGACCUCACCACAAAACUACAUCUGGAAUACUCCUACCGUGUCCUAAUUAUCUUUCAAAGUCCUGUUUAAACAUUACUCCCUCUAGGAAGCUCCUUUUACUAUCACCUCUACUCCAAAACCUCAGUCAAACUUUAUGCUACAUUCUUAAUAAAUCUAUUUCGUUUUACCUCUUUUAUCCAAUAUACCCACACGUACACAUAUUACAAUCAACAAAUACAGGUAUUUCCCCCAUUAAAUUACAAUAUCCCAUUUUUUUAUUGCACACACCUCCUAGUAUAUAAAUGCUGCACAAAUAUUUACCUAAUUGUGGCAUCACCAAGUAAAAAGUAUUUAAAUUUAAAAAUAAAAAGUGUAAUACUGAUAGGUAGCAGCAUAUAAUAUUAUACAAUACUAAACUGACUUUCGGCCAAAACAAAGUGUACUUUUCACCUUUCCUGCCAGAUACAAUGCCUAGUGUUAUAAAAACAAAUUAUAAGGAAAUAAACACAUUUAAAUAGAAAUUCUUAAGGUUAAAUUAUGGUUAAUAAAACAAUUAAGCUUUUCAUUUCUUUUUAUUAUAGCACACACAUAAAGAUGUAGCCAUCUUUGUUCUAUGUUUAGAUCCUCAUAUUAUCAGAAUGAACUCUAUAAAGCAAUACACAAAGGUAAGGGAGUAGGUUGAGGGUGAAGGAAACCCAGUAUGAUGCUGUUUUUAUUUAAAAUUCCUAGCUGUGACCUUCAGCUACAAUCAGUAGGAUGACAAAGAAGCCUGACUCCCUCUGUUCAAUUUUCCUCAGUGAUUUGCAACUCCUGACUUGUGUGCUGAGGGCUAUUUUCUAGACCUGCUACAGACCCUAUAAAUGUGAAUUUAAAUUUUUUUAUUUUUGUCACUUUGUUACUGCAAAAAACUAAGGAUUUUUUAAAAGAAUAAAAU